CUCCGAUGACGCGUAGCCUCUAUUUUUCCUCCUAAUAUUUGUCGCUCUCUUUCGGUGACACCGAUCCUCUUCCAGAAUUUUCUCCUUGACACUUUCGCUUCUGAUUUCUUAUUCAAAUUUCUGCAUAUUGAUUCCAGCUUCUCUUUGCAGCAUAUGAGAUCUAUGAUUUUUGCUUGAUUUUUUCUUGGUUUGGUGAACCAUCUUUGCAUAGUAAUAGGACUUUGGUAUUCAGCAACAUACACAUCCAUCAUCCAUUAAACGAAAGUUUUGCUAUGGCCUAUGGAUUGUAGUAGCUAUGUGUUCCCCUGUCUGCACAUCAUCUUAUUUAUAAUCAAAAUGCCAUGGUCAAUUAUGACUUAUGAAUGAAAGGAAUCGUUCGAGGUCCUGAUGGAGGACACAAGAGAUAGUUCAUAACCAUAAAUUAGUCUACAUAUCGGCACUGGUAUCAUGAAUGCCAGCGAGUACAAAUUGCUAGGAAGUGACUGACAGUUGAUCACAUAGAAUCACAUUCUUUGGUUUUUGGUAAAGAUAAAACCACACUCAUUAAGAUAGAAGAUACUUCAAAUGUCCAGGCUCAAUAUGUUUAAAAUUUGACUAUCAGAAUCUGCAGAUUGUUCAAUUUCAGAAACAUUAUGCAGCGGAAAAAGUCAGAAAGGACCAAGAUUGAUUGCUCAAUGAACAUGUCUCUCUAGAUAAUCGGGAAGAAAGCUUUAGCCUCUUUGCUUUGCUGUUCGAGUCAUUUGGUGUGCAGUAAAGGUACCAUUAUAUAUAUUAAGGAUUGCGAAGAAGAAGACUAAUUACAACAUUGUAAAUGUAUCACUUUUAGUCAAUAUGUAAAUAUUAUCCAUGGAUUUAAAGAAUAUGUCACCUUGCAAGGCCACAUUCAAGAAGGGAUAUUUUUGUUCCUCUAUGUAUGUAAAUAAAUAACGUCCAAUAGUUAAUAUGCAAUGUCCUCUUUAUCCAAUUUGAUAGUUAUUUACUUGCAUCAAUUCUUAUUAUAUGAAAUUUUAUGUUAAAAGAGAUUUAAUCAAAAAUAAAAGUUCCAGAGUUUAUAUUAUUGGUUAUGUAA